rnacentral:misc_RNA from 1 species
GGAAGGUAAAAGUCGUAACAAGGUUUCCGUAGGUGAACCUGCGGAAGGAUCAUUCAUAAUAAGUGUUUUAUGGCACUUUUUUAAAUCCAUAUCCACCUUGUGUGCAAUGUCAGGGUUGAUUUUUCUCUCGAGAGGAUCAACCCCAAACAUCAACUAUAUCUCAACUCUUUGUCUGAAAAAUAUUAUGAAUAAAACAAUUCAAAAUACAACUUUCAACAACGGAUCUCUUGGCUCUC